CCCAUGGCCGGGAAGGUGCGGUCACUGCUGCCGCCGCUGCUGCUGGCCGCCGCGGGCCUCGCCGGCCUCCUACUGCUGUGCGUCCCCACCCGCGACGUCCGGGAGCCGCCCGCCCUCAAGUAUGGCAUCGUCCUGGACGCUGGUUCUUCACACACGUCCAUGUUUAUCUACAAGUGGCCGGCAGACAAGGAGAACGACACAGGCAUUGUGGGCCAGCACAGCUCCUGUGAUGUUCCAGGUGGGGGCAUCUCCAGCUAUGCAGACAACCCUUCUGGGGCCAGCCAGAGUCUUGUUGGAUGCCUCGAACAGGCGCUUCAGGAUGUGCCCAAAGAGAGACACGCGGGCACACCCCUCUACCUGGGAGCCACAGCGGGUAUGCGCCUGCUCAAUACGGCUGGGUGGGCCGGUGGUUCCGGCCACGGAAGGGGACACUGGGGGCCAUGGACCUGGGGGGUGCCUCUACCCAGAUCACUUUUGAGACAACCAGUCCAGCUGAGGACAGAGCCAGCGAGGUCCAGCUGCAUCUCUACGGCCAGCACUACCGAGUCUACACCCACAGCUUCCUCUGCUAUGGCCGUGACCAGGUCCUCCAGAGGCUGCUGGCCAGCGCCCUCCAGACCCACGGCUUCCACCCCUGCUGGCCGAGGGGCUUUUCCACCCAAGUGCUGCUCGGGGAUGUGUACCAGUCACCAUGCACCAUGGCCCAGCGGCCCCAGAACUUCAACAGCAGUGCCAGGGUCAGCCUGUCAGGGAGCAGUGACCCCCACCUCUGCCGAGAUCUGGUUUCUGGGCUCUUCAGCUUCUCCUCCUGCCCCUUCUCCCGAUGCUCUUUCAAUGGGGUCUUCCAGCCCCCAGUGGCUGGGAACUU
rnacentral:lncRNA from 1 species